UAAAUUCCAUUUAAACAGUUAUUUUUAAUUUUGUAUUCUUAUACAUUGUAUUAUUCCUUCUUUCUUUACCUGAUAUGAAACUGUCUUUUGUUUAACAAGAGAUUUUAAAAGUAGACAGUCAGGUUUUUAAAAAAUGUAUAGUUUCCUAACUUGAGCUCCAUCCCCCGCACCACACACAUACACAUUAGAAAAUAUGAGUGGUCCAUGAAAUCCCAAGCACUGGCCACUCAUGGUCUAACGAUGUGUCAAGAUGCCCAUGUUCAGAUGGAGAAGCUGAGAUUCUGAGAUUUAAAACAGGUCCAGGAAGGCGGGUGGAAAACUGUCAUCCCACAGCCUUGCUGCUUUUCCCCAGCCCCCACAACACCGUGGUGACUUAACAGUGGGGGGAGGAGGCAGGGAGCCUGGGAGCACCCUGCAGACUUCUGCCGGGGCAUGCCUCCUCCAAGUGAGUCACCCCGGCCUGGCACUCUGGGAGUAGCAUAACAGAAAUGCCAUCACCCAUGUUAGAAUCAGGCUGUGGCCCCUCCAGCUCUCUUCUUCCUUGACUUCCACGGGAUUCAGAUGGCAUCCAUAUCUUCAGCUCACAUUUUUAAGGUUCACGCUUUACUGCCCAAGAAGAUGGACCAGAGAUUUGAAGUUAAGCAGGCCUGGCCUGGCCACUUAACCAGCAGAAUCUCAGAUGUCAUGUUUUCCUGCCAUGGCAAGGCUAAGGGAAGUGCUCCACCAGGGGACAGCAGAAAGUAAGAUGAAGGCUGUGGACUCAAAUCUCAGGGUUUGAACUUCAAACGCACACCCCGCUCUCUUGGCUACUGACCUUG
rnacentral:lncRNA from 1 species